GACGAACGCUGGCGGCGUGCUUAACACAUGCAAGUCGAACGGACAGGCCCUGAUUUUGCGGGGUGCUCGAGAGGCGAACGGGGGAGUAACACGCGAGUAUACUGCCCUUGUAUUUGGGAUAACUUCAGGGAACUGGGGAUCAUACAGGGUAGGAGCUACUGCUGCGUGGGGGGGGUUGGAGAGUUUCGGCGGUUGGGGCUGGUUUGGCGGCUUAUCAGCUGGUUGGUGGGGUAGUGGCUGACAAAGUUUGUGAAGGGUAGCCGGCCUGAGAGGGGGAACGGCCUCAUGGGGACUGAGAGACGGCCCAGACGCCAACGGGAGGCAGCGGGCGGGAACAUUGCACAAUGGGCGGAAGCCUGAUGCAGCAACGCCGCGUGCGGGAUGACGGCCUUCGGGUUGUAAACCGCUUUCGCCUGUGACGAAGCGUGAGUGACGGUAAUGGGUAAAGAAGCACCGGCUAACUACGUG
rnacentral:rRNA from 1 species